GGGCCAUUAGCUCAGCUGGCAGAGCACCUGACUCUUAAUCAGGGUGUCCGGGGUUCGAGUCCCUGAUGGCCCACCA
rnacentral:tRNA from 1 species